AUUCUGGCUCAGGAUGAACGCUGGCGGCGUGCUUAACACAUGCAAGUCGAACGGGAUCCAUCAGGCUUUGCUUGGUGGUGAGAGUGGCGAACGGGUGAGUAAUGCGUGACCGACCUGCCCCAUACACCGGAAUAGCUCCUGGAAACGGGUGGUAAUGCCGGAUGCUCCGACUCCUCGCAUGGGGUGUCGGGAAAGAUUUCAUCGGUAUGGGAUGGGGUCGCGUCCUAUCAGGUAGUCGGCGGGGUAACGGCCCACCGAGCCUACGACGGGUAGCCGGCCUGAGAGGGCGACCGGCCACAUUGGGACUGAGAUACGGCCCAGACUCCUACGGGAGGCAGCAGUGGGGAAUAUUGCACAAUGGGCGCAAGCCUGAUGCAGCGACGCCGCGUGCGGGAUGACGGCCUUCGGGUUGUAAACCGCUUUUGAUCGGGAGCAAGCCUUCGGGUGAGUGUACCUUUCGAAUAAGCACCGGCUAACUACGUGCCAGCAGCCGCGGUAAUACGUAGGGUGCAAGCGUUAUCCGGAAUUAUUGGGCGUAAAGGGCUCGUAGGCGGUUCGUCGCGUCCGGUGUGAAAGUCCAUCGCUUAACGGUGGAUCUGCGCCGGGUACGGGCGGGCUGGAGUGCGGUAGGGGAGACUGGAAUUCCCGGUGUAACGGUGGAAUGUGUAGAUAUCGGGAAGAACACCAAUGGCGAAGGCAGGUCUCUGGGCCGUUACUGACGCUGAGGAGCGAAAGCGUGGGGAGCGAACAGGAUUAGAUACCCUGGUAGUCCACGCCGUAAACGGUGGAUGCUGGAUGUGGGGCCCGUUCCACGGGUUCCGUGUCGGAGCUAACGCGUUAAGCAUCCCGCCUGGGGAGUACGGCCGCAAGGCUAAAACUCAAAGAAAUUGACGGGGGCCCGCACAAGCGGCGGAGCAUGCGGAUUAAUUCGAUGCAACGCGAAGAACCUUACCUGGGCUUGACAUGUUCCCGACAGCCGUAGAGAUAUGGCCUCCCUUCGGGGCGGGUUCACAGGUGGUGCAUGGUCGUCGUCAGCUCGUGUCGUGAGAUGUUGGGUUAAGUCCCGCAACGAGCGCAACCCUCGCCCUGUGUUGCCAGCACGUCAUGGUGGGAACUCACGGGGGACCGCCGGGGUCAACUCGGAGGAAGGUGGGGAUGACGUCAGAUCAUCAUGCCCCUUACGUCCAGGGCUUCACGCAUGCUACAAUGGCCGGUACAACGGGAUGCGACACGGCGACGUGGAGCGGAUCCCUGAAAACCGGUCUCAGUUCGGAUUGGAGUCUGCAACCCGACUCCAUGAAGGCGGAGUCGCUAGUAAUCGCG
rnacentral:rRNA from 1 species